rnacentral:rRNA from 1 species
AUUGAACGCUAGCGGGAUGCUUUACACAUGCAAGUCGAACGGCAGCGCGGACUUCGGUCUGGCGGCGAGUGGCGAACGGGUGAGUAAUGUAUCGGAACGUGCCCAGUAGCGGGGGAUAACUACGCGAAAGCGUAGCUAAUACCGCAUACGCCCUACGUGGGAAAGCAGGGGAUCGUAAGACCUUGCACUAUUGGAGCGGCCGAUAUCGGAUUAGCUAGUUGGUGAGGUAACGGCUCACCAAGGCGACGAUCCGUAGCUGGUUUGAGAGGACGACCAGCCACACUGGGACUGAGACACGGCCCAGACUCCUACGGGAGGCAGCAGUGGGGAAUUUUGGACAAUGGGGGCAACCCUGAUCCAGCCAUCCCGCGUGUGCGAUGAAGGCCUUCGGGUUGUAAAGCACUUUUGGCAGGAAAGAAACGUCGCGGGCUAAUACCCCGUGGAACUGACGGUACCUGCAGAAUAAGCACCGGCUAACUACGUG